AGUGAACGCUGGCGGUAGGCCUAACACAUGCAAGUCGAACGGCAGCACAGUAAGAGCUUGCUCUUACGGGUGGCGAGUGGCGGACGGGUGAGGAAUACAUCGGAAUCUACUUUUUCGUGGGGGAUAACGUAGGGAAACUUACGCUAAUACCGCAUACGACCUACGGGUGAAAGCAGGGGAUCUUCGGACCUUGCGCGAUUGAAUGAGCCGAUGUCGGAUUAGCUAGUUGGCGGGGUAAAGGCCCACCAAGGCGACGAUCCGUAGCUGGUCUGAGAGGAUGAUCAGCCACACUGGAACUGAGACACGGUCCAGACUCCUACGGGAGGCAGCAGUGGGGAAUAUUGGACUAUGGGCGCAAGCCUGAUCCAGCCAUACCGCGUGGGUGAAGAAGGCCUUCGGGCUGUAAAGCCCUUUUGUUGGGAAAGAAAAGCAGCAGGUUAAUACCCCGCUGUUCUGACGGUACCCAAAGGAUAAGCACCGGCUAACUUCGUG
rnacentral:rRNA from 1 species